UCCCCCGUCCUUUUGGUCGGCGUCCGGCCGUCCGCCGAUGCCGGCCUGCCGGGGCUGCGGAGGCGGCAGCCUCCAGUCGGCUGAGGCGGUGGGAGCGAACCGGCGAAAGCGGCUGAUGUUGUGGGCCCGGCCGGUGUCGAGUCGCAGCCGCGCCUCCAUCUACGGGGAAGGAACUCAGGAUUCAGGAAGAGAACAAGAGGCGCCGCCCUUCUUCUCGUCGUUGUACGCCUUCACGGGCCGUUGCCGCCGAUCUCCCCAUGGCUAUUCGGCGCCACGGUUCCCAUCCUCAUUCCUGAGGCCAGGUUAAACAGGCAUGGCGUUGGACAAGGGACUGCACGGUACCUGGGGACUAGCCAAGGAGGUACCAGGCGUUAAGGAAUCUCAUUGUCACGGCCUUGGUUAGUCGUACAGAACUUAGGGAUUGCGAGGGUAAACAGACGCUGAAUCGGACACUUGAGAUUGGAUGUGUUGCUGAUGGCUGCACCCAAUCUCAACUUUUCAAAGCCGAGGGACUAGACGAACUGUGCGAAGAGCAAGCAAUAGAUGGAGUCUCCGUUGGUGCCACAGUUUGGAGAUCUCUCUCUCUCUGAUCACAGCAGGGGCGGUCUGGCGGAGCCUAAGAUUUAGGCCGUUCGAUCAUGCUGACACAUACUUAAAAAACAUUCUGAUAAAAAUAUUGGAGGGAGAUGGUGCACAAUGCUGACAGGAGUUGGCGGUGAUGCAACUUGGAGAGAAGAAAGAGACACGAACACGUGAGUCCGUUGAUGUGGAAGUGUGGAACGAAUCAGCGAAACAUUCUUCCCCUUCAAUUCACAAUGGUCAAGAAAGGUCUAACACCGUGUUUAGCAUGUUGCAAGAUUAAGGGGGACCUUUGAAAAUUAUUCGCAUCCCAUUCCAAAAAAGAAGGUUAGUCUCAUUAGGCGGCGCCACCAGGAGAGAUCAACUUGCUCAUUUAGUUAAGCCGCUGGAGAUUCUUCUCAUUAGGAAGAAGAAGAUUUGUGUGUAUCAGAUGCUAGUUGCAUAUAUGAUACCUCAAGAACAGAAGGAUGGAAACGGGAAGGUAAGUAGAUCAUCCGUGUCCUGGCUCUUGCUCAUGUAUGUUCAUUUGCCCGAAUGAAGCGUGAAGAACAUGGGGGAUUUUCCUGCGUCCGUCAAUUCAAUAUUGCUCUCAGUCUGCAAAGUCUGGCAGUACACGGUAAAGAUGGGCCGAAAGUGCUCGGGCCCAUUGGGCAUGGGAAGGAACAAGUGUGUGGUACGCUGUCACUUUCCUUGGGCCUGAGAGCCCGCAAUACACGUUACGACGAGGGCGGCCGCCGCCGCCCAAUGGUGGUGGCGGCGGCGGCGGGGGCGAACCGGCGAGGUAGCAUGCUGCGCCGCGAGCUAUCGGAGGGAACUCUGGGAGUAUCACCGCGCCUCUUCCCGUCGUUAUACCGGGUACCUGCUGCCGAACUUCCCAGGGAGAUUCGACCGUGCUCGCCACGGUCGCAAUGCUGAGGCCAGACAUGUUUAUUUGGAGAUGUUAUGAAGUGAUGCACUAAGGGCACAAAUGUUACUGCAGGAAAAAAGAACUCAGGUGGACACUGAAUUGCAGUGUACCUGGGGACUCGGCAACUCAGAGGUACAAGUUCAUGAGGUAUAUAAUCAGCACUAAGCAAGUCCACCUGUGCACUAAGCAAGCAUGGUGUGCAGAUUCCAUGUCAUUGCCUCCAGCUGGCAGAUCAAUCAGACGUGGUAAAAAAAGACCUCCGGUGAACAAAGAUGCAAGUUUGAUGGUGCGGAGUGUACCAUCUGGAAAGAAGGACCUCCGGUGAACAAGGAUGCAAGUUUGAUGAUGCAGUGUGUAUCAUUUGCAAGUUAAGUGAUUCGAGUGAGAAUUUGGUGCAAGUUUAAUGGCUUGCAAUGCAUUUUACUCUUUGGAACUUACAAGUUGGUUAGUCCUCCAUCCAUUCUUAAAUAUAGCUUAGAGUAUAUGUAUAGUUUAUUUUUGAAUUAAUCAUCUUGUCCUAAACAUCAUAUAUUAUUCGAGGACGGAGAGGUAGUAUUAGGUAAUGAAGACAAAUUUGUGCCGCUGUGAAAUCUUCUCCCAUGUGCAGUGGGGCUAAUUGCAUCAUA